AGAGUUUGAUCCUGGCUCAGAACGAACGCUGGCGGCGUGCUUAACACAUGCAAGUCGAGUGCGCGCCUGUAGCAAUACAGGUGGCGCACGGCGCACGGGUGCGUAACACGUGGGUAAUCUGCCCUCUGAUGGGGAAUAACUCGCCGAAAGGCGAGCUAAUUCCGCAUAAUAUUCCGAAAACUUUGGUUUUUGGACUGAAAGGCGUAAGUCGUCGGAGGAGGAGCCCGCGCACGAUUAGCUAGUUGGUAGGGUAAUGGCCUACCAAGGCUUUGAUCGUUAGCUGGUCUGAGAGGAUGGCCAGCCACACUGGAACUGAGACACGGUCCAGACUCCUACGGGAGGCAGCAGUGGGGAAUCUUGCACAAUGGGCGAAAGCCUGAUGCAGCGACGCCGCGUGGGGGAUGAAGCUUCUCGGAGUGUAAACCCCUUUCGAUCCGGACGAAUGCCUCGCAAGAGGAGUGACGGUACGGAUAUAAGAAGCCCCGGCUAACUACGUGCCAGCAGCCGCGGUAAUACGUAGGGGGCCAGCGUUGUUCGGAAUUACUGGGUGUAAAGGGUUCGUAGGCGGUGCGGCAAGUUGGGAGUGAAAUCUCUGGGCUUAACCCAGAGACGGCUUCCAAAACUGCUGUGCUUGAGUGUGGGAGAGGCUCGUGGAAUUGCAGGUGUAGCGGUGAAAUGCGUAGAUAUCUGCAGGAACACCCGUGGCGAAAGCGGCGAGCUGGACCACUACUGACGCUGAAGAACGAAAGCUAGGGGAGCAAACAGGAUUAGAUACCCUAGUAGUCC
rnacentral:rRNA from 1 species